UAUUUGUGUGAAGUGUAAUGAGCAUCAUCAACUGCUUCUUGUGUAACGUUGAAUCAUCUGGAAGCCUUUGUUUGAACAGAAGCUUGCCUAUUAAUACAACAGAAGGCUAGUUUAUUUGUCCAGACUCCCAGAUGAGAAAAGUGAUGACCUUGAGAUGUGUAUGUGAAAGACAAAACUCUUACAGAGAUGAUCACAUCUGAAUAAUAGUUCAGUGUAAUCAGAAAUGUUCUUAUGUGGUCUCCAAACCUUCUUGCAAGAAACAGAUUGGCACUGACUUCUGAUAGUAAGAGCAGAACUGAAUACUUGGAAGGGGGAAAACAACAGCUGUGCCCCAGUCCUGGUUAAUAUGUUGGAAAGAGGAUAAGUGUGAGUUGGCAUGUCAUACUCCUAGCAAGGGUAAUCAGACAACACCCAGAACAGUACUUGCAGAAUGUGCAACUCUUGGCGUGAAAAUUGACAAUUACCUGAGCUUUGGGAGCGAAGUAGUGAUACUCAGCAUUUCUGUUACUAUUAUGUUAUUUCCACUGAGUCUCAAGCAUAUAUAAUGCAAUCGGUUCCUUUUAUAAUCUUCUUAAUAAAAAGAAGAAUGGUUUUCA